AAACCAUGAUGAGGACACUAUCUCAAAUAACCCUUAAAUCUAUCUCAUGCUUUAUAUAUUGUUUCCCCUUCUUCCUGAGCAAAGCCUUAGAUUCUAUUCCUCAUAU